rnacentral:rRNA from 1 species
UAAGCGCCCCGCCUGGGGAGUACGGCCGCAAGGCUAAAACUCAAAGGAAUUGACGGGGGCCCGCACAAGCGGCGGAGCAUGCGGAUUAAUUCGAUGCAACGCGAAGAACCUUACCAAGGCUUGACAUACACCGGUAACGGCCAGAGAUGGUCGCCCCCUUGUGGUCGGUGUACAGGUGGUGCAUGGUUGUCGUCAGCUCGUGUCGUGAGAUGUUGGGUUAAGUCCCGCAACGAGCGCAACCCUCGUUCUAUGUUGCCAGCGCGUUAUGGCGGGGACUCAUAGGAGACUGCCGGGGUCAACUCGGAGGAAGGUGGGGAUGACGUCAAAUCAUCAUGCCCCUUAUGUCUUGGGCUUCACGCAUGCUACAAUGGCCGGUACAAAGGGCUGCGAUACCGUAAGGUGGAGCGAAUCCCAAAAAGCCGGUCUCAGUUCGGAUUGAGGUCUGCAACUCGACCUCAUGAAGUCGGAGUCGCUAGUAAUCGCAGAUCAGCAACGCUGCGGUGAAUACGUUCCCGGGCCUUGUACACACCGCCCGUCAAGUCAUGAAAGUCGGUAUACUACCCGAAGCCGGUGGCCUA